rnacentral:rRNA from 1 species
UGUUCUGGGUCAAGCUAAGUAAAAAAAAUCAAGGGCAUAUCAAGGGCAUAACAGAUUCAAGUCAACAAAAAUUAAUAUGUGCAUGUGAUAGGAAAGAUCACAGGAAAUAGACUACCCUGAUCAAGUAUACUAUAACAUCGAAAAAGUCAAACAAGCUCAUUGUGCAUUUUAUUUUUUAGUGUGAGACACAAUAAGCAUAAGUAGCCACUAGCAAAAUAACAUGCUAUCUACAUGCCCUAUUAUCCGCAACAAUGACAUUAGGCGAUGAAGAACAAUAUAUUUCCAAUGCAAUAUGUUAGCCAAACACACCCUGCCACGCCAAUCAUCUCAUGAUCCAAUAAAAUGUCUAGAAAAAUCUAUUGAAUGGCAUCAGUCCAGAUUUAUAUCUGGUGUGCUAGUAAAUCUGGACGAUCGAUGAACAUCAAACAUAUCAAGAAAAACAGUACAUCAAGGCAUCGACCUAAUUUCAGUAAGCAAAUCAACUAAAUUUAAAGAGCUAGAUGGCAGCUAAAAACUAACUCCAGAUCUAUCUAUAUUCUUAUAUAUUGUAUGAAUAAGCUAACAACUAACUCCAAAUAUAUCAAUACUCUUAUAUAACUCUGAAUCUAGAUGACAGCAAAUUAACACAAUUUAAAGAGCUAGGUGACAGACCAUUGUGGGAGUUGACUAUAAGCCACGCUCUUCCACUCGCAUCAGAUGUAGCCUAGCUCACACUACUCUAUGCAGUCGUCGACGCCAACUAUGCAUUCACAGCCGCUCUCACUCGCUGCUUUUGCUGGUCUCCUGUUGCAUAUGGGGCUGCCAUAAAGUGCUAAACAUUCAUCAGUCUCCAACAGAGAGUAGAAUAGGAACACAGUAGGUGCUACUAUCGUUGUUGUUGUUGGUUGGUUGCUCAAAUAACUCAGUUUAUGUUACUGCUCGAGCAGGUUGGUAGGCAGGCCAUGGAAGCAUAUGAGAUGACAGAAUAUUCAGGGUCAAUUAUGCAACAGUAGUAGAAACCGAAAUCUAGAACUAAACUAACAUAAUUAAUCACAACAAGAUGGCAUGCUUAGAAAUCUACAACUAAGCUAAUAAGAACUUUAAAUUAAAAGAGGAGAAGAAAAGGUUCAGGAAUCAGAUGUUCCACUGCCGACGCUUUGGCUGUCGAGGUCAAGGAGGUCGUGUCCAUGGCCACGCCAUCGACCCGAGCUCCAACCCAGCAUUCACCGCAGACCCGUCUUGGUGCUCGAAGGAGACGAACGCUUCAGAUCCCUCUUGGCUCCCAUAUGACUACGGUCUACUCCUCCCUCACCCGCCUUGCUAUGGCUUCGGGGUGGUAGGCCAGGCCGUCUCACU